rnacentral:lncRNA from 1 species
GGGAAAUCUAAGGCCUGAACCCUUACUCAAAGCAUUGCAGGCAACUAGUGAAUGCUGGAAGCAGGAGAAACAGUUUUCCUAGGGAAGAACACACUGUAUGGCUAUAUAUAUAUGCAUAUGUGUAACAUUAUACAGACUGAGCAGGUUAUAUUUAGAUACUAGUAUACACACUCACACAUUUAACAACUAUUAGUGAAAAAAAAUCCAUGAAUUUUAAAGGAGAUGGGAGGGUAGAAAGGGAAGGAGAAAUAAUGUAAUUAUAUUAUAAUCUCAAAAAAUUAAAAUAAAAAACUGUGCAGAAAAACCACAGUGAAGUGGUCACAUUUAGCCAAUAGACAGUCAUGAUUACGGGGCAGGACCGAGGUGAGUACCUUUCUACUAUGGCUAUUGCAUCUUGCUGUGACCUAAGUGGUCUUUUAUUAAAGAAGAAAUUGGGUAGCAGUGCCACGCUUGCCAAGUUUGAUGGAUUCCUCGC